AGGGGAUACUGAUAUUUGGUCAGAACAGCCCACACAUAAUCAUUGAUUUCAAAAGUUAACUUCUUCAAAUGCUUGUCAGCGAUUUUUUUAUACUUGGCAUUACUGACCUCAAUUUGCUCUUUGAUGGAGUGAUGGGUAGCUUGAAUUUCUUCAAUCUAAUUUUUAGCUUUCAUACUGGAUCAUCUCCUAGAAGUGAUUGGAGUCAAGUCUAGAACACUACUUGGAUUUGACC
rnacentral:lncRNA from 1 species